rnacentral:rRNA from 1 species
UGCUUAACGAUCGAAUUGCCCUUGAAACUGUCAGACUUGAGUAUGGAUGCGGUAGGCGGAAUGUGUAGUGUANCGGUGAAAUGCAUAGAUAUUACACAGAACACCGAUUGCGAAAGCAGCUUACCAAACCAGCACUGACGCUGAAGCACGAAAGCGUGGGUAGCGAACAGGAUUAGAUACCCUGGUAGUCCACGCAGUAAACGAUGCUCACUCGCUGUUGGCAAUAGAUCGUCAGCGGCUAAGGGAAACCGAUAAGUGAGCCACCUGGGGAGUACGAUCGCAAGAUUGAAACUCAAAGGAAUUGACGGGGGCCCGCACAAGCGGUGGAACAUGUGGUUUAAUUCGAUGAUACGCGAGGAACCUUACCUGGGCUUAAAUGUACGAUGCAUAAGUGUGAAAGCACUUUUUCCUUCGGGACUUUGUACAAGGUGCUGCAUGGUUGUCGUCAGCUCGUGCCGUGAGGUGUCGGGUUAAGUCCCAUAACGAGCGCAACCCCUAUUGUUAGUUACCAGCGCGUAAAGGCGGGGACUCUAGCGAAACUGCCGGUGUAAACCGCGAGGAAGGUGGGGAUGACGUCAAAUCAGCACGGCCCUUAUGUCCAGGGCUACACACGUGUUACAAUGGCCGGUACAGCGGGCAGCGAGGCAGCGAUGCCGAGCGAAUCUCGAAAGCCGGUCCCAGUUCGGAUUGGAGUCUGCAACCCGACUCCAUGAAGGUGGAUCGCUAGUAUCGCGCAUCAGCCAGGCGCGUGAAUACGUUCCCGGGCNUGUACACACCGCCCGUCAA